rnacentral:rRNA from 1 species
AUUGAACGCUGGCGGCAGGCCUAACACAUGCAAGUCGAACGAGUGGCGGACGGGUGAGUAAUGUCUGGGAAACUGCCUGAUGGAGGGGGAUAACUACUGGAAACGGUAGCUAAUACCGCAUACCAUCAGAUGUGCCCAGAUGGGAUUAGCUAGUUGGUGGGGUAACGGCUCACCAAGGCGACGACCCCUAGCUUGUAUGAGUGGAUGACCGGCCCUACUGAAGCUGAGACACGGUCCAGACUCCUACGAGAGGCAGCGGUGGGGAAUAUUGCACAAUGGGCGCAAGCCUGGUGCAGCCAUGCCGCGUGUAUGAAGAAGGCCCUCGGGUUGUAAAGUACUUUCAGCGGGGAGGCGUUGCCCGCAAAAGAAGCACCGGCUAACUCCGUGCCAGCCGCCGCGGUAAUUC